UACGUAGGGUGCAAGCGUUGUCCGGAAUUAUUGGGCGUAAAGAGCUCGUAGGCGGUUCGUCGCGUCGGCUGUGAAAACCUGAGGCUCAACCUCAGGCCUGCAGUCGAUACGGGCGGACUUGAGUACUGCAGGGGAGACUGGAAUUCCUGGUGUAGCGGUGAAAUGCGCAGAUAUCAGGAGGAACACCGGUGGCGAAGGCGGGUCUCUGGGCCGAAACUGACGCUGAGGAGCGAAAGCGUGGGGAGCGAACAGG
rnacentral:rRNA from 1 species